rnacentral:tRNA from 1 species
GGUUUCGUGGUCUAACGGCUAUGACUGCGGAUUCUGAAGGACGCCAAGUCCAACAUUUCCGCCAGCGAGGGUUCGACUCCCUCCGAGACCU